rnacentral:rRNA from 1 species
UACGGAGGGUGCAAGCGUUAAUCGGAAUUACUGGGCGUAAAGCGCACGCAGGUGGCUGAGUCAGUCGAUUGUGAAAGCCCUGGGCUUAACCUGGGAAUUGCAAUCGAUACUACUCAGCUAGAGUAUGGGAGAGGGCAGUGGAAUUCCCGGUGUAGCGGUGAAAUGCGUAGAUAUCGGGAGGAACAUCAGUGGCGAAGGCGGAUCUCUGGGCCAUUACUGACGCUGAGGAGCGAAAGCGUGGGGAGCGAACAGG